GACGUAGGGCGCGAGCGUUGUCCGGAAUUAUUGGGCGUAAAGAGCUCGCAGGCGGCCUGUUGCGUCCGCUGUGAAAGCCCGGGGCUUAACCCCGGGUCGGCAGUGGAUACGGGCAGGCUAGAGGUAGGUAGGGGAGAAUGGAAUUCCCGGUGUAGCGGUGAAAUGCUUAGAUAUCGUCCAGAACACCGAUAGCGAAGGCAGCUUACUAAGGAGUAACUGACGCUGAGGCACGAAAGUGUGGGGAUCAAACAGG
rnacentral:rRNA from 1 species